GAUGAACGCUGGCGGCGUGCCUAAUACAUGCAAGUCGAGCGGAUGGAUUAAGAGCUUGCUCUUAUGAAGUUAGCGGCGGACGGGUGAGUAACACGUGGGUAACCUGCCCAUAAGACUGGGAUAACUCCGGGAAACCGGGGCUAAUACCGGAUAACAUUUUGAACCGCAUGGUUCGAAAUUGAAAGGCGGCUUCGGCUGUCACUUAUGGAUGGACCCGCGUCGCAUUAGCUAGUUGGGGAGGUAACGGUUCAGCAAGGCAACGAUGCGUAGCCGACCUGAGAGUGUGAUCGGCCACACUCGGCAUGAGACACGGCACAGACUCCUACGGGAGGCAGCAGUAGGGAAUCUUCCGCAAUGGACGAAAGUCUGACGGAGCAACGCCGCGUGAGUGAUGAAGGCUUUCGGGUCGUAAAACUCUGUUGUUAGGGAAGAACAAGUGCUAGUUGAAUAAGCUGGCACCUUGACGGUACCUAACCAGAAAGCCACGGCUAACUACGUGCCAGCCGCCGCGGUAA
rnacentral:rRNA from 1 species